ACACGUAGGGGGCGAGCGUUGUCCGGAAUUACUGGGCGUAAAGGGCGCGUAGGCGGCCUAAUAAGUCAGAUGUGAAACCCCCGGGCUUAACCCUGGGCUUGCAUUUGAAACUGUUGGGCUUGAGGGCAGGAGAGGGAAGCGGAAUUCCCAGUGUAGCGGUGAAAUGCGUAGAUAUUGGGAGGAACACCAGUGGCGAAGGCGGCUUUCUGGACUGCACCUGACGCUGAGGCGCGAAAGCCAGGGGAGCGAACGGGAUUAGAUACCCCGGUAGUCCUGGCCGUAAACGAUGGAUACUAGGUGUGGGAGGUAUCGACCCCUUCCGUGCCGUAGCCAACGCACUAAGUAUCCCGCCUGGGGAGUACGGCCGCAAGGCUGAA
rnacentral:rRNA from 1 species